rnacentral:rRNA from 1 species
CUACGGGCGGCAGCAGUAGGGAAUAUUGCGCAAUGGGGGAAACCCUGACGCAGCAACGCCGCGUGAGUGAAGAAGGCCCUUGGGUUGUAAAGCUCUGUCAGAAGGAAAGAAAUGCUUAUCGGAAUAAUACCCGGUAGGUUUGACGGUACCUUCAAAGGAAGUACCGGCCCAGCUCCGUGCCAGCAGCCGCGGUAAUACGGAGGGUGCAAGCGUUGUUCGGAUUUACUGGGCGUAAAGCGCGUGUAGGCGGUUCGUAAGGUCAGAUGUGAAAGCCCUCGGCUUAACCGGGGAAGUGCAUUUGAAACCGGCGGACUUGAGUACUGGAGAGGGAAGCAGAAUUCCUAGUGUAGAGGUGAAAUUCGUAGAUAUUAGGAGGAAUACCUGUGGCGGAGGCGGCUUCCUGGACAGAUACUGACGCUGAGACGCGAAAGCGUGGGGAGCAAACAGGAUUAGAUACCCGCGUAGUC